rnacentral:rRNA from 1 species
UACGGGGGGAGCAAGCGUUGUUCGGCUUUACUGGGCGUAAAGGGCGCGUAGGCGGUCAGCACAAGUCAGUUGUGAAAUCUCCGGGCUUAACUCGGAAAGGUCAACUGAUACUGUGCGACUAGAGUGCGGAAGGGGCAACUGGAAUUCUCGGUGUAGCGGUGAAAUGCGUAGAUAUCGAGAGGAACACCUGCGGCGAAGGCGGGUUGCUGGGCCGACACUGACGCUGAUGCGCGAAAGCCAGGGGAGCGAACGGG